rnacentral:rRNA from 1 species
GCUACCAUGCAGUCGAACGGCAGCACAGAGGAGCUUGCUCCUUGGGUGGCGAGUGGCGGACGGGUGAGGAAUACAUCGGAAUCUACUUUUUCGUGGGGGAUAACGUAGGGAAACUUACGCUAAUACCGUAUACGACCUACGGGCGAAAGCAGGGGACCUUCGGGCCCUGCGCGAUUGAAUGAGCCGAUGUCGGAUUAGCUAGUUGGCGGGGUAAAGGCCCACCAAGGCGACGAUCCGUAGCUGGUCUGAGAGGAUGAUCAGCCACACUGGAACUGAGACACGGUCCAGACUCCUACGGGAGGCAGCAGUGGGGAAUAUUGGACAAUGGGCGCAAGCCUGAUCCAGCCAUACCGCGUGGGUGAAGAAGGCCUUCGGGUUGUAAAGCCCUUUUGUUGGGAAAGAAAUCCAGCUGGCUAAUACCCGGUUGGGAUGACGGUACCCAAAGAAUAAGCACCGGCUAACUUCGUGCCAGCAGCCGCGGUAAUACGAAGGGUGCAAGCGUUACUCGGAAUUACUGGGCGUAAAGCGUGCGUAGGUGGUCGUUUAAGUCCGUUGUGAAAGCCCUGGGCUCAACCUGGGAACUGCAGUGGAUACUGGGCGACUAGAGUGUGGUAGAGGGUAGCGGAAUUCCUGGUGUAGCAGUGAAAUGCGUAAGAUCAGGAGGAACAUCCAUGGCGAAGGCAGCUACCUGGACCAACACUGACACUGAGGCACGAAAGCGUGGGGAGCAAACAGGAUUAAUACCCUGGUAGUCCACGCCCUAAACGAUGCGAACUGGAUGUUGGGUGCAAUUUGGCACGCAGUAUCGAAGCUAACGCGUUAAGUUCCCGCCUGGGGAGUACGGUCGCAAGACUGAAACUCAAAGGAAUUGACGGGGGCCCGCACAAGCGGUG